rnacentral:lncRNA from 1 species
GACAUCCAGCUCUCCCGUGCGAUAAAUGGCUUUUCUACCUACUUGGUGUCUGAUAAGGUAUCUUCACUCAGAAGUAAUGUGAAAGUCCGACAGUUUUACAGAUCCUGUUACCGUUGCUGAAUAACGUCUCCAGGUGGCAAAGUGAGUUCUUGUAAUAUAAAUGAAGCCAGCGUGUUUUUGCUACUGGACUGAUUUGCCCUGAGGACAGGGUUUUCCACUAUGGAACCCAUCCCCCUGAUAGAAUAACUGGGAGCUGAAACAGGAAGCCCCAUGACACAGUUGAUCGAAAAUGACACAGACACAGAAAAAUCAGGACGUGCCCCCAGCAGCACCCCUACCUGCUGCCUGCUGAUCACGGCUGGGAGGCCCGUCCAGGGUUCCCACCCGGGAACGGACUCUUAGCUACUCAGUGCUCACGGGUGCUGGGCCUGCAGAGCUUUUCGGAUGCUCUCUUACAGCUGGUUUGUUAUCUUUUAAUCAAUCAACUAAUUAAUCUAUUACUUUAUUUAUUGGCCCUCCCCAUGUCUUGAUCCUUUCUUCAUUAAAAGCAAAAGGAAA